rnacentral:rRNA from 1 species
AUUGAACGCUGGCGGCAGGCCUAACACAUGCAAGUCGAGCGGAUGAAGGGAGCUUGCUCCUGGAUUCAGCGGCGGACGGGUGAGUAAUGCCUAGGAAUCUGCCUGGUAGUGGGGGAUAACGUCCGGGAACGGGCGCUAAUACCGCAUACGUCCUGAUGGAGAAAGUGGGGGAUCUUCGGACCUCACGCUAUCAGAUGAGCCUAGGUCGGAUUAGCUAGUUGGUGGGGUAAAGGCCUACCAAGGCGACGAUCCGUAACUGGUCUGAGAGGAUGAUCAGUCACACUGGAACUGAGACGCGGUCCAGACUCCUACGGGAGGCAGCAGUGGGGAAUAUUGGACAAUGGGCGAAAGCCUGAUCCAGCCAUGCCGCGUGUGUGAAGAAGGUCUUCGGAUUGUAAAGCACUUUAAGUUGGGAGGAAGGGAAGUAAGUUAAUACCUUGCUGUUUUGACGUUACCAACAGAAUAAGCACCGGCUAACUUCGUG